rnacentral:misc_RNA from 1 species
CUGAACGAAAUGGGUGGCAAGGCUGUCGCUGGCUUGAAUGAGCAUGUGCACGUCUUUUUGCCACUUACUUCAUUCUCUCUUCCACCUGUGCACUCUUUGUAGACACUUGGGAUGUGAUGGCAUUGAUUGUCGGACUUCUCUCCUGGGUGUUUAUGUAUUUUUUUGACAUACACGGUUGAAUGUCUAUAGAAUGAAAUUAUAGGCUCUUGUCAGCCUUUAAAUGAUAAAAUA